AUACGUAGGUGGCAAGCGUUAUCCGGAAUUACUGGGCGUAAAGCGCACGCAGGCGGUCUUUUAAGUUUGACGUGAAAGCUCCCGGCUUAACUGGGAGAGGUCGUUGAAUACUGGGAGACUUGAGUUUAGGAGAGGGGUGUAGAAUUCCCGGUGUAGUGGUGGAAUGCGUAGAUAUCGGGGGGAAUACCAGUGGCGAAAGCGGCACCCUAGCCUUUGACUGACGCUCAUGUGCGAAAGCGUGGGGAGC
rnacentral:rRNA from 1 species